rnacentral:rRNA from 1 species
CCUACGGGUGGCAGCAGUAGGGAAUAUUGCUCAAUGGUGGAAACCCUGAAGCAGCCACGCCGCGUGGAGGAUGAAGGUUUUAGGAUUGUAAACUCCUUUUUUUAGAGAAGAUAAUGACGGUAUCUCACGAAUAAGCACCGGCUAACUCCGUGCCAGCAGCCGCGGUAAUACGGAGGGUGCAAGCGUUAUUCGGAAUCACUGGGCGUAAAGAGUGCGCAUGCGGGUUUGUAAGUCAGAGGUGAAAUCCUGUAGCUUAAAUACAGAACUGAAUUUGAAACUAUGAGUCUAGAGUGUGGGAGAGGUAGGUGGAAUGCUUGGUGUAGGGGUAAAAUCAGUAGAUAUCAAGAGGAAUACUCAUUGCGAAGGCGACCUACUGGAACAUUACUGACGCGCAUGCACGAAAGCGUGGGGAGCAAACAGGAUUAGAUACCCCAGUAGUC